rnacentral:rRNA from 1 species
AUUGAACGCUGGCGGCAGGCCUAACACAUGCAAGUCGAACGCGUGGCGGACGGGUGAGUAAUGUCUGGGAACCUGCCUGAUGGAGGGGGAUAACUACUGGAAACGGUAGCUACUACCGCAUAACAUCAGAUGUGCCCAGAGGGGAUUAGCUUGUUGGUGGGGUAACGGCUCACCAGGGCUACGAUCCCUAGCAGGUCUGAGAGGAUGACCAGCCACACUGGAACGGAGACACGGCCCAGACUCCUACGGGAGGACGCAGUUGGGAAUAUUGCACAAUGGGCGCAAGCCUGAUGCAGCCAUGCCGCGUGUAUGAAGAAGGCCUUCGGGUUGUAAAGCACUUUCAGCGGGGAGGCGUUACCCGCAGAAGAAGCACCGGCUAACUCCGUGCCAGCAGCCGCGGUAAUUC